GCUGCUCUAGAAGGAUUUAUAGUUUCCUCUGUGCUCAGACAACUGCUGCCUCCCCUUUCUCAAGCAGAUGUGCACGAAUUUUAGCUUCAGUAACUGUUGCCGUUGUGGACACCCUCAGAAUGACAGAAGAGGCAAAAUCAGUAGGAACUGGACACAGGGAGAGAGGAAUAUCGGUGAUGGAUAGAGGCUCAGUACUAGGUUUGGGUUUGUUACAUGUGUGGGUGAGAUUCAACUCCAAACUCAAAUACCUACUUUUAGUCGUCUUCAUGCCCAAAUGAAUCUGUAGCCAGUUUUAAUCCAGGUCAAAGACUGCAUGCACCAGCAAAAUGAGACAACAGACAGAGUCAUUGAAAUACCUGAAACUCAUACUGAAUUCCAGUUCUCAGACAACAUAACUGCAUUAAACACAUGAAAGAAAUGCUGCUUUAUACUCAGGAUUACAGUGCCAUUACAGAGACACAGUCAGCUGAGAGAAGAGGAGGAAGGAAUUUCCUCACUUUCUUAUCCAGACCUCUGAGUAGGAGAUGCUGAGAGAGGAGCACAAC